AUUGAACGCUGGCGGCAGGCUUAACACAUGCAAGUCGAACGAGUGGCGGACGGGUGAGUAAUGCUUGGGAAUCUGGCUUAUGGAGGGGGAUAACGACGGGAAACUGUCGCUAAUACCGCGUACCAUAGGAUGAGCCCAAGUGGGAUUAGGUAGUUGGUGGGGUAAAGGCCUACCAAGCUGAAGAUAUAUAGCGGGUCUGAGAGGAUGACCAGCCAAACAGUGACUGGAACACGGCCCUGACGCCUACGGGAGGCAGAAGUGGGGAAUAUUGCGCAAGGGGGGCAACCCUGACGCAGCCAUGCCGCGUGAAUGAAGAAGGCCUUCGGGUUGUAAAGCACUUUCAGCGGGGAGGCGUUACCCGCAGAAGAAGCACCGGCUAACUCCGUGCCAGCAGCCGCGGUAAUUC
rnacentral:rRNA from 1 species